UACAGAGGUCUCAAGCGUUGUUCGGAUUCAUUGGGCGUAAAGGGUGCGUAGGCGGCGCGGUAAGUCGGGUGUGAAAUCUCGGAGCUUAACUCCGAACUGCAUUCGAUACUGCCGUGCUUGAGGACUGGAGAGGAGACUGGAAUUUACGGUGUAGCGGUGAAAUGCGUAGAUAUCGUAAGGAAGACCAGUGGCGAAGGCGGGUCUCUGGACAGUUCCUGACGCUGAGGCGCGAAGGCCAGGGAGCAAACGGG
rnacentral:rRNA from 1 species